GAUGAACGCUGGCGGCGUGCCUAAUACAUGCAAGUAGAACGCUGAAGGAAGGAGCUUGCUCUUUCCGGAUGAGUUGCGAACGGGUGAGUAACGCGUAGGUAACCUGCCUGGUAGCGGGGGAUAACUAUUGGAAACGAUAGCUAAUACCGCAUAACAGUAGAUGUUGCAUGAUAUCUACUUAAAAGGUGCAAUUGCACCACUACCAGAUGGACCUGCGUUGUAUUAGCUAGUUGGUGAGGUAACGGCUCACCAAGGCGACGAUACAUAGCCGACCUGAGAGGGUGAUCGGCCACACUGGGACUGGGACACGGCCCAGACUCCUACGGGAGGCAGCAGUAGGGAAUCUUCGGCAAUGGACGGAAGUCUGACCGAGCAACGCCGCGUGAGUGAAGAAGGUUUUCGGAUCGUAAAGCUCUGUUGUAAGAGAAGAACGAGUGUGAGAGUGGAAAGUUCACACUGUGACGGUAGCUUACCAGAAAGGGACGGCUAACUACGUG
rnacentral:rRNA from 1 species